UACUGCUUGUUACUCUUUCACUCUGACCUUCGACUACCCCAAAGGACAGAGACCUGGCCACAGGAUGUGAGUGUGUAUACUAUGUGAGUGUGUGAGAGUGAUUAUUUUUUUUUACUUCAACACAUUAUUAAACAAUAAUCCUGAUAUGUAUUAUAGAAGCCAUGUGCUGUGUGUGCUCUUUGCUGCUCAAUGUUUAAAGAAUGAUUGAUGAAACCCAGAAACACACUGGGGGCAAGAGUACUUUGUUUACUGAAAAUACACAUCUCCCAGAAUACAGUGAAGAAAUAGAGGCAGUAUCUUUAUUAACAGCAGAAGGUUUGUUUUUGUCUUCCUGCCUGGGCAUUUCCUCAGGUGGGGAAUUGAUGUCCAGGCAAUCAUUCUCUUCGUUGCCUGCUACUGCUUGUUACUCUUUCACUCUGACCUUCGACUACCCCAAAGGACAGAGACCUGGCCACAGGAGUGGAGUGGGAGGGGGAGAGUGUGUGUGUGCGUGUGUGUGUGUGUGUGUGUGUGUGUGUGUGUGUGUGUGUGUGUGUGUGUGUGUGUGUGUGUGUGUGUGUGUGUGUGUGUGUGCACCUAAUGUGUGAAUUUUUCCACAGUAAAUGUGAUCCGUUGUAUUAGCAGGUGAAUGCAUCUGUAUGUGCAAGGUCAGUGUCAUACAAUUUCAUACUGAGCCAGAGAAAACAUGCAGUACAUGUAACUCCUCAUACUGACAUGGCAUUAGCAAGGAUUAGUUAAUGCAGUGGGCGUCUCUCCAUAGCAUGUGAUAGGACAACAUAUGAGGUUGCUGCUAUAGUCUUACAGGAUACAGAUAAUAAUGCAACUGAGUCAGUGCAUCUUUUACACAGUUGUUCCUCUCAUCCCUUCCUCCACACUCUCUCCUGUUUUCUAUCCAGCCCUCUCUAACGUCAUUCACCAGAGGCCCACUCUGCCACCUUCAGGCCUGGUUCCGGCUCCGUUACCAGGGGUUUGAACAUCGGCUCCACCUGUCCAUUCUUCUGCAUACCCUCCUCCUUCCAUGCUGCACAGAAACAAUGAAAAACACCAGUAGGCCUACAUUAACGAGGAAUUGAUUUGUUAAAUGUCAUCUCUUCGGCUUUGUACAACCCUAACACUGUGUUUGUGUGUGUGUGUGUGUGUGUGUGUGUGUGUGUGUGUGUGUGUGUGUGUGUGUGUGUGUGUGUGUGUGUGUGUGUGUGUGUGUGUGUUCACGCGUAUGCAUGUCAAAAUCAACAUUCUGUGUGUGCAUGCAUGCACACCGAUGCAUGCACACAAACACACACACACUCACAUAAAUACACACACAUAUGUUUUAAUAUCCUUGUGGGGACCUAAAAUUAAUUUCCAUUCAAAAUCCUAGUUUCCCUAACCCUUACCCUAGCCCUAACCUUAACCCUGAAAUGAACCCCUAACUGUAACUAACUCCUAACCCAUAAACCUAACCCAUAACCACUAACCCUAAUUCUAACCCUAACUGUAACCCUAACCCUAAAGCUAACCCCCGAGCUUAAAGUAGCCGUCGACCUCGUGUGUCCCCCCCCACCCCCACACCCACACACACACACACACACACAGGAUUCAAUUUUAAUCCCAGUAAAAACAUAUCUCACCAUACAGCCUCGGACAAACAUGAAGUACAAAAGCAACAACAAAAAACAUUUGCAAAGUGCAAACAUUUCUUAUAAUCCUGUUCAUAUGAGUCUGUACAAGCAUGCAUGAAUGCAUAUACCCAUCCAAACACACAGACGUACACACAGGAUCCAGGUAUAUGUGACUUUCAUCAGACAAAAGCAAACCAUAUCAUUAUCAUUAUCUAUGCGGUAUGUUUCAGGUCAUCUUUCAGGUAAUAUCAAUCAGCUGAUUUAGGGCCUAAAUCAAACUAUUUGUUGUCUGAGCAGCAUCCUCCUUACCCCCAGAGCCCAAGGACCUCCAGGCCUCCUCUUGCCCCAGCUGAGCCCACUCACCCUUGGCCUGGCUACAUGCUGCGGUGGGCUUCUCUGGCUGCUCUCCCCUUCUCACUGCAGCCCGGAUGCGCCGCACCACGUACCUGCAGGCUGAAGGAAGAACAGUUUUCAGUUAAUGAACUGUUCCUAUG
rnacentral:lncRNA from 1 species